GGAAUUUUCACCUGAGUCUGACAUCGUAGAAGGACCAUUCUAGUAUCAGAUUGGAUUUUGCACCUGAGUCUGUCAUCGUAGAAGGACCAUUCUGGUAUCAGAUUGGAUUUUGCACCUGAGUCUGACAUCGCAGGAGGUCCAUUCUGGUAUCAGAUUGGAUUUUGCACCUGAGCCUGACAUCGUAGAAGGUCCAUUCUGGUAUCAGAUUGGAUUUUGCACUUGAGUCUGACAUCCUAGGAGGACCAUUUUCACAUCAGAUUAGAUUUUCCACCUGAGUCUGACAUCGUAGAAGAAGCAUUUUUACAUCAGAUUAGAUUUUGCACCUGAGUCUGACAUCGCAGAAGAACCAUUUUCACAUCAGAUUGACUAUUUUUUUAUGGUUUUAGGAACUUUGCACCUGAGUGAUAUCGUAGAAGGACCAUUUUCGCAUC